AACGAACGCUGGCGGCAUGCCUAACACAUGCAAGUCGAACGAGAUCUUCGGGUCUAGUGGCGCACGGGUGCGUAACGCGUGGGAAUCUGCCCUUUGGUUCGGAAUAACAGUUGGAAACGACUGCUAAUACCGGAUGAUGACGAAAGUCCAAAGAUUUAUCGCCAGAGGAUGAGCCCGCGUAGGAUUAGCUAGUUGGUGUGGUAAAGGCGCACCAAGGCGACGAUCCGUAGCUGGUCUGAGAGGGUGAUCAGCCACACUGGGACUGAGACACGGCCCAGAGUCCUACGGGAGGCAGAAGUGGGGAAUAUUGAACAAUGGGCGAAAGCCUGAUCCAGCACUGCCGCGUGAGUGAUGAAGGCCUUAGGGUUGUAAAGCUCUUUUACCCGGGAUGAUAAUGACAGUACCGGGAGAAUAAGCUCCGGCUAACUCCGUGCCAGCCGCCGCCGUAA
rnacentral:rRNA from 1 species